CCAUUAUAACUCUCAACAGUCAUUAAGUGAUGUAAGUUGAGGACUACCUGUACUCUGCAAAGCUUUUGCAAGCUAUUCAGCCACAGCCUUUCUACACUACAAUACAGGAAGAAAAUCAGAACUGGAAGCGACCUUGGACCUUCUAGACUAAGCUUCUACUUCUACAGGAGACCUUAUAUCAUCCUGGUCAAGUGACUGUCUAGUUUAUGCUUGAAAACCUCCAGCAAUGGAGCACUUAUAUCUCUGGGAGGAAAGCUGUUCCAAUGAUUAAUUAAAAGUUAAUUAACUGUCAGGAAAUUUCUCCUUAGUUCUAGAUUGGUUCUCUUUAACAAGCUCCAACUCAUUGUUUCUUAUCCUGCCCUCUGGUGCUUUAGAUAAGUUGACCUCUUUUUCUCUGUGACAGCUCAAGUAUUGGAAGACAGCCAUCAUGUCACCUAGUUCCUCUCUUCCUUAGACUAGACAUACCCAAUUCCUGCAGCUGCUCAUCAUAUGCUUUAGCCUCCAGUCCCCUAACAACAUUUUUGUUGCUUUCCUCUCCUCUCCUUCCUUCUCCUCUCUUCCCUUCCCCCCCUCCAGAAUAACUAUGAAGUAUGGAAUGAUAUUAACAAAGACCUAGUGAGAUAGGGUAAAUUACAAUCAUGUAGAAUCUUGGACUUUUUGUUUGAGAAAAAUAGAAAUGAAGUUUUGAUUUUAGCAUUCAAUGAUUAGCUCUGUCAUGAUAAAAAUAUCGGACGUUGUCUUACCUGAACGUCCUUUCUCGGCGCACUGCUAGAGAAUAUGUAUUUUUAUUAUUAGACAUGUUUACUAUGUAUUCUUUUAUGUUUAUUUUAAGUUUAAAUAGAUGUUAUUUUAUUACAAAAUUGUUAUUUUGAUUGUUUAAAUAAUAUUUUUAUAUUGUCUGUGUUUUAACUUAAGAGUAAGAGGUUACUAUAUAACUGAAUCCCCCUUUUAACUUUUCCCACUUUUGAUCCCCUCCAUUUUUCCUUUUAUUUUGUAUUUUAUCCUUCUUUGAAAUGUAAUAAAGUUGAUUAAUAAAGACAUCCAAAAAGCUUCCUUCCCA